UCGUCUGAUCUCAUGGACAAACCAGGGAUUGCCUGAACCUUGCCGUCCGAUUCGGAGACCCUCCAGAUCUGCACCACCAGUCCCAGGCCACCCGAGGCGCCCUGCCACGGGAAUCUGCCCCAGUCCCCCGGUCCCCCCUCCUCAGCCUGAAUCCCGCAUCGGCGGCACCCAUCGGAGAGGUGGUCCAGGCGGAAGGGGAGCGCAAGGCGCGUCGCCCGCGAGCUGGUAAGCUCGGCCUACUCGGGAAGGAGGUCCAUGCUGCAGGGGAGCGUGAGCCGCGUCGGCCGCGAGGAAAAUCAGACUGCUCGGGGGAGAUGGUCUCGUCGCCUGGACCACGGCCACGCGCGUUCCUCGCCCUGCUUCGAGUGGGAUGCCACAAUUUGUUUUUGGCUCCUGCUCAUACGGUUCAGCGGCUCUGAUUUGCUUUGGUCAGUUAACUUUUCCGGUCUGAUUUGCCUCUUCCAUGUCCGGCUUUAGGUAGUCAUCGGCCGCGGUGGCAAGUGCUGGGCUACAAGGAAUGCGGAACGGCGAGCAGGAGCAUUGGAGUAGGGACGAGUUAACCGACAAGCAACGACAACAGAGACGAGCUUAGAAAGAAAUUAGGGCGUGCCUUUCGUUGGAUACAGAGCAAGCCAGGGCACAGGCAAAGAUACAGUCGUCCUAUUUUCUUCUGUCACUCUAUAUAUCUCCUGAAGAUUUAGUGGUAUGUUGUAAUCUGCAGAUUUAGUAAUUUAGGUUGUCUACAGAUUUCUUUUUUUUUUGCGGGGAAAAUAGAAGUCAGGUUGUCUACAGAUUUCUAACAAACAGAUUAUCUGGAUGAGAAGCUUGCAUCAUAUAGCUGAAAAUCAUUGGCUUUUCAACGGUCCAUGUCUGGCGUCUUGACCAGAGGGCGGCAGCAGCAGGGUAACGGCACGCUGCUUGCUGAUAGGAAACUCCAUCCUCAAGCCAAGCGGUGGACACAGCAGGGGAGCUCGACGAGGUCUGACAUACUCCCGUUAUGGAUGCCGAGGCCUGUUGUUUUCCCGUAUGAUGGCGUCUGAUGAGUCGCGGUACAGGGCUACAUGCUACUGCAAUUGCCGCUAGAUAGAGAAGAUCGAUGAACUGGUGUCUUCGAAGCAGUGGUAUUAUGGUAAGAUCGUUACUUGCUUAGUUGAGAGAAGCUCAGAUGAAGAAGAUCCUUGAACGUGAUGACUGCUUUUAUACACCGCUACCACCCUUUCAGCUCCAAUGCGUGCCAGACAACAGCCGGAAAUCCAAUUUGGCUUCUCAAGCAGAAGUUGAUGCUCAUGAAUAUUGGUUGAUUCAGCUGAUUUGUCCAAUGGCAUCAGCGUUCGGGCUGAGCAACACUGCCAUGGUAGCACGGAUGCACAUCAGUACAUCACAACAGGAUUUGAGCUUCUUCUUAUUAUACACUGCCUACAGAUGUACAUCACAACAGAUAAACUCCUAAAUGAAGCUUUCUGUGGUAAAUAAUUGUUCGCCGAUAUCCUUCAUGUUUUCACUUCAAUUUCAUUUGUAAAGGUUUUGAGCUUUUUCUAAUUAUUUCAAGAAAUUUGUGGAUAUGCCUAUAAGAAACAACAAUUUUGCCCUCCCGUAAAUGUAGGUGAUUCUGUAAAAUUUGACCAAGUGCCUUUGGUGUACCAUGGCUGCAUAAUUCAUCUUUCUACAAUGCACAUUUGUAAAUCA